rnacentral:lncRNA from 1 species
UCUCUCGAUCCUACAAUUUUGCCUCAAUUACAGGGACUUUCAAUGGAUGCUGCAGCACCCCAGCUGCAGUCUCCCACUGGAAUACAGAUGCGCCAGAACAUUAAUCAGCAGCUCCGCUCGAGCUACCCUGCGAGCCUCUCAUCUUCACCUGUCAGAGGGUCAGCAUCAUUUGGGAUGGACCCAUCUGGCUCUGCGACAGCAGCAGUUUUGAAUUCAAGGGCAGCUGCCUUUGCAAAGCGGAGCCAGAGUUUCAUUGAGCGAAGUGCUGCUAACCGUCAUUCUGGGUUUUCUUCAUCUGCUUCUUCUGCAGCUGUAGUGCCUUCCCCACUUUCUGAUUGGGGCUCACCUGAUGGCAAAUUAGACUGGGGUAUUCAGGGAGAGGAGCUGAACAAGCUGAGGAAAUCGGCUUCUUUUGGGUUCAGAAGCAAUGGCAGCAGUUAUGCAGCACAAGCAGCCUCUGUGCCAGCAGCUGCGGAUGAGCCAGAUGUGUCUUGGGUUCAGUCCCUGGUGAAGGAAGCCCCAUCAGCAAGACCUGGGCAAUUCGGUUAUGAGGAGCAGCAUCAAUAUCAUCUCAAUAGUGGAGGUUCUGAGAUACUCCCACCUUGGGUCGAGCAGUUGUGCGUGGAGCAGGAGCAGAUGGUGGCAUGAAAGCAAAUAUUAAUCCCCACAUCAGUUAAUUUAACUUUUUAACAAGCUUGUUUUCAUUUAUUAAUUUUUAUUGAUAUUCACCAUACGUAGUUGGAAGGAAAU